AUUGUCAUAGACAGCUGUCCUCGAGGAGUUUCCGAUGAGACGAUCAUCAGGGGCCACCCAGUGAAUGAUGGGAGUGGGAUCCCCAAUGGCUUUGCACUUCAGCGUGGCAGUUUGCCCUUCCAAGACCAGCAGCUUUGUUUUGCCUAACAUCUACCUCCAGAGAGACUUUGUGAUGCCUCCCUUCAGGAGUCACACCUAAAAGCAUCAGCCCUCCUAGAUGGGACAGUUAUGUGUUAUAAAAACAUUAUAAAAACUCUUUUCUUUCUUUCUUUCUUUCUUUCUUUCUUUCUUUCUUUCUUUCUUUCUUUCUUUCUUUCUUUCUUUCUUUCUUUCUUUCUUUCUUUCUUUCUUUCUUUCUUUCUUUCUUUCUUUCUUUCUUUCCUUUCUUUCUUCUUUCUUUCCUCUCUUUCUCUCUCUUUCUCUCUUUCCCUCUUUCCCUCUUUCUUUCUUCUACCACAGAUUACAAGGCUUAUUAAAAAUCCUGAAAGAUUU